GAUGAACGCUGGCGGCGUGCCUAAUACAUGCAAGUCGAGCGAAUGGAUUAAGAGCUUGCUCUUAUGAAGUUAGCGGCGGACGGGUGAGUAACACGUGGGUAACCUGCCCAUAAGACUGGGAUAACUCCGGGAAACCGGGGCUAAUACCGGAAAACAUUUUGAACCGCAUGGUUCGAAAUUGAAAGGCGGCUUCGGCUGUCACUUAUGGAUGGACCCGCGUCGCAUUAGCUAGUUGGUGAGGUAACGGCUCACCAAGGCAACGAUGCGUAGCCGAGCUGAGAGGGUGAUCGGCCACACUGGGACUGAGACACGGCCCAGACUCCUACGGGAGGCAGCAGUAGGGAAUCUUCCGCAAUGGGCGAAAGUCUGACGGAGCAACGCCGCGUGAGUGAUGAAGGCUUUCGGGUCGUAAAACUCUGUUGUUAGGGAAGAACAAGUGCUAGUUGAAUAAGCUGGCACCUUGACGGUACCUAACCAGAAAGCCACGGCUAACUACGUGCCAGCCGCCGCCGUAA
rnacentral:rRNA from 1 species